rnacentral:rRNA from 1 species
UACGUAGGUGGCAAGCGUUGUCCGGAUUUACUGGGCGUAAAGGGCGUGCAGGCGGUUUGUUAAGUGCAGGGUGAAAGCUCCCGGCUCAACUGGGAGAGGUCCUUGCAUACUGGCAGACUUGAGGGAGGCAGAGGAAAGUGGAAUUCCCGGUGUAGUGGUGAUAUGCGUAGAUAUCGGGAGGAACACCUGUGGCGAAGGCGGCUUUCUGGGCCUUACCUGACGCUGAGACGCGAAAGCGUGGGGGGCGAACCGG